CCGGCUUACUUUUUAUUUUUAUUUGUUUUUUGUUAUAUCGAACAGCGAUCAGGCUUAGGGAUUCAGAGUUCUUUUUCAUCCCAAAACAGAGCUUCAACGAGUGUGGAAAGAGAGAGACCCGAAUCUCUCAUCUAUCGAUUACAACCGUGUUGAUGGCAGUAAUUUGAGGAAAGAAAGCUUGAUUUCCUAAACUCGUCUUUCUCAGAUUGGGCUCCCGACGGUGUCGAUCAUUCCGUUACCGACCAGCGAAGAGGUUAGGGUUUUCAACUAGCGACCAAAAAUUGAAGUUGAAGAGAGCCACCAUGGACGACGUCUCUGAGGAAGAAAAGAAGUAGCCUUGGUGGGUGUUGCCGUAUUUAUUGGCCUGAACUAGGUUUUGUUACAAGAAGGGAGAACCAAACCCUUAAUUCAGUGCCAGGAUUGAUUAUCACCAGUUCAUUAGGAGCAGAAGAAUCAGAAUUUCUACGAUUCCAGUCUACAACAAAGUUACUUUUUUGGAUUUUGUAUCGUGGAUUUUGCAGUUACUUCCUUGGAUUUUGUACAGUGAGAUGGUUUUUUGGCAAGUGCAGACUGAAACUCAAGUGCUAGAAGGUUUAUCAAUUUUUCAACAGAAGUGUUAAGAAAUUGAUGAUUUUCUGGACAAAUAGAUUUACUUUCUGUUUUGGAACAUUGAUAAAUGUUGAAUUGUUUUGGUACAUUGAUAAAUGAUGAAUUGUAAAAAUGUUUGAACUAUUUUGAUAUAUUCAAUAGGAUAUGUAUGUUUUUUGAAUUGAA